rnacentral:rRNA from 1 species
AAGCGGAGGAAAAGAAACCAACAGGGAUUGCCCCAGUAACGGCGAGUGAAGCGGCAACAGCUCAAAUUUGAAAUCUGGCCCUCGGGUCCGAGUUGUAAUUUGUAGAGGAUGCUUUUGGCGAGGUGCCUUCCGAGUUCCCUGGAACGGGACGCCAUAGAGGGUGAGAGCCCCGUCUGGUCGGACACCGAGCCUCUGUAAAGCUCCUUCGACGAGUCGAGUAGUUUGGGAAUGCUGCUCAAAAUGGGAGGUAUAUGUCUUCUAAAGCUAAAUAUUGGCCAGAGACCGAUAGCGCACAAGUAGAGUGAUCGAAAGAUGAAAAGCACUUUGAAAAGAGGGUUAAAAAGUACGUGAAAUUGUUGAAAGGGAAGCGCCUAUGACCAGACUUGAGCCCGGUGAAUCAUCCAGCGUUCUCGCUGGUGCACUUUGCCGGGCCCAGGCCAGCAUCAGUUUGGCGCGGGGGAUAAAGGUGACGGGAAUGUGGCUCCCUCGGGAGUGUUAUAGCCCGCUACGUAAUACCCUGCGCCGGACUGAGGUACGCGCAUUGCAAGGAUGCUGGCGUAAUGGUCAUCAGCGACCCGUCUUGAAACACGGACCAAGGAGUCGUCUUCGUAUGCGAGUGUUCGGGUGUCAAACCCCUACGCGUAAUGAAAGUGAACGCAGGUGAGAGCUUCGGCGCAUCAUCGACCGAUCCUGAUGUUCUCGGAUGGAUUUGAGUAAGAGCAUACGGGGCCGGACCCGAAAGAAGGUGAACUAUGCCUGUAUAGGGUGAAGCCAGAGGAAACUCUGGUGGAGGCUCGCAGCGGUUCUGACGUGCGAAUCGAUCGUCAAAUAUGGGCAUGGGGGCGAAAGACUAAUCGAACCU